UACGGAGGAUGCGAGCGUUAUCCGGAUUUAUUGGGUUUAAAGGGUGCGUAGGCGGCUUUUUAAGUCAGCGGUGAAAUUUUGCAGCUUAACUGUAACAGUGCCGUUGAUACUGGGGAGCUAGGAUUUGGUUGCUGUGGGUGGAAUGUGUGGUGUAGCGGUGAAAUGCUUAGAGAUCACACAGAAUAUCGAUUGCGAAGGCAGCUCGCAAAGCCAAGAUUGACGCUGAGGCACGAAAGUGUGGGGAUCAAACAGGAUUA
rnacentral:rRNA from 1 species